UCAUAAAGGUGUUUCCUAUAAAAACAAAUUACCAAAAGGAGAGAGGAAAUCAGAAAUUCUUUAUGUUCGUGAUUUUGUUUACCUGUUCGAGGCACAUUCAUAGAUAAAAUGGAAAUGUACUCAACGGAGCAGUCUACAUUUGGGAGGAUAUUUCUGUGUUCAACAAUUUUUAUGAUCCUUAUACAGAGAGAGCUGUAACCGGACCACAGGUCUGAGGACGGGGACUUCCUGCCUGAUUCGUCUCUUCUGGAAAUACAGCACUGUGUGGAAGAGGCAAAGACUCUGCUCAUCUUCUUUAGAGUGGGGGAUGCAGUCAACACAUGAAUGAGUCUACUGGGGCUCCUGAAGGUGAAAAGACCUGUUUAAGGUCAUAAAACCCCUUCAAGAUCAUGUGGCUGGUUUGUGCUCAGGAAGAAGAUUCCUGCCUGUCUGGCUAGGGAGUAGUCC